rnacentral:lncRNA from 10 species
UUCAGUACUUGUUUCCUCCUAUGUAAUGAUUAUUUUUUUCUUUGUAGCUUCACAUUACUGGUUUGCUGCGUUGCUGUUCCCCAGACCAAGCAGAAGCAUCUGUAACGUCUGAAGGAAGAACCCAGGCCCGCAGCUCACCCACUACAGAACCUAGGGACCUUAUCCUUCUUCCAGGUAUUUUUGGUGAGUCCAUAGAACAGACACCGUUCCAGGAACUUGAGAUACAUCAGUGAACAGAAUUAAGGUCCUUGACUUCGUUCAGCUUAUGUUCUACCCAGAGAAUUCAGACAAAAACAAUACUCUUAAUAGAAAGGGUCUCUGCCACCCAGGCUGAAGUGCAGUGGUGUGAUCUCAGCUUACUGCAGCAUCCACCUCCAGAGCUCAAGCGAUCCUGCCACCUC